rnacentral:tRNA from 1 species
AGCUGAAUAGCUCAGUGGUAAGAGCAAUCGCCCGGCAAGCGAAAGGGGUCGAUUCCCGAUUCAGCGA